rnacentral:misc_RNA from 1 species
UAUCUCUCCUAUACCAACGUUUUUUUGUUGGAGUCAUAUAGGGACUUGGGGUCUGUAUCGUCGGAAACUUUUUUUAUAAGCAACCGGUGAACCCUUCAAAUAUAGUAAGCUCCCAUCAGUAUUCCAAACUUUUAUGGAAAUACGCAAACCUGGGGAUGGCGUCGUAGCAAUCACUCUUAUACAGUAUUGUCGAAGCGCCUAUAACAUACCUCUAAACUGCGGUGCUAAUCCAUAAAACGUGCGCUGACUUGGGCGAAGCUUAGCGACUGGCAAAGUGCCAUGCUCCACUACUAUACUUUCGGAGCACACGAACAAC